GUGAGCACGUGUUUUGUUUGUAAGUCUAUCUGCAUAGUUAUUAAUCGUGUUUCUUUAGAUGUUAAUAUGAUAGUGACAUGGACGACAAUGAAUUUCAGCCCAUGUGGCUUACAGUUAUUGAAUUGUCGCUCAUGGAAUCGGGUAUUGAGUGAUUUUGCUAAUAUUCAUGGCUGCCGGAUACCGCCCGCUUGCUAAUAUGUCGAAUUGGUAUUAUUGUUUAUUUAUUCAACGGUUAAUUUAUUAAAAUAAGUAUCAAUUCUUACUAAUGUGAAAUUUUUGUUGAUAACGGAAGAACAAUGAAUUUUGAACUGAGAGAGUUUUAGUCUAUUUGCACUGUCAGGACAGUCCUGACGAUGCUCUUACCGGCGAAUUGUCGAUUCAUCAAAGUAGAAAUGGUGCACUACUGGUGCCUAGUGUGGCACUGGUGCAUCUACCUUACUUAAAAAAUGGGCAAGCGUGGGUGCUUGAUAAUUUAUUUCCACGAUUUUUGACAUAUACGCCGUACUAUGGAGUCCGAUGAGUUCUGCAUCAGUGCCCUCAUUCAGAGUCACUUCUACCGCUACACUCCUACGGUGCCCUGAAUAAGAGUCACUUCUACCGCU